rnacentral:rRNA from 1 species
CACGCCGUAAACGAUGAUCACUAGGUGUUGGUCCUGCGUAGCAGGAUCAGUGUCGAAGCUAACGCGAUAAGUGAUCCGCCUGGGGAGUACGGUCGCAAGAUUAAAACUCAAAGAAAUUGACGGGGGUCCGCACAAGCGGUGGAACAUGUGGUUUAAUUCGACACUACGCGAGAAACCUUACCUAGGCUUGACAUGUAAACGCUACUAGUGGAAACACUGGGUUCUAUGGGAAACCAUAGACGGUUACACAGGUGC